GGCGCUGUAGCUCAAGUGGUAGAGCGCUCGCCUUGCAUGCCUGAGGCCCUGGGUUCGAUUCCUCAGCACCA
rnacentral:tRNA from 1 species